AGAAUCAACGCUGGCGGCGUGCCUAACACAUGCAAGUCGAACGCGAGAGUCCCGCAAGGGACAAUUGAGUGGCAAACGGGUGAGUAACACGUGGGUGACCUGCCUUCGAGUGGGGGAUAACGUCCCGAAAGGGACGCUAAUACCGCAUGACAUCCUGCCUUUGGACAGGCGGAGAUCAAAGCCGGGGAUCGCAAGACCUGGCGCUUGGAGAGGGGCCCGCGUCUGAUUAGCUAGUUGGUGAGGUAACGGCUCACCAAGGCGACGAUC
rnacentral:rRNA from 1 species